CUUAUAUAGCCAAAUUUAAUCAGAAAAAAACUGAACCCAAAACGACGAUUGCGAAGUCUUCUUUUGUCUUCUCCAUCAACAGCAACUUUUUUGCCUCUCUCUCUCUCGAUCGAAAAAUUCCUCCAUUGAUUUGUUCUUCUGCUUCUUCUCGUGAAUGAAAUUUCUCUGAGAGAGGAAGUAGAGAGAGAGAGAGAGAGUGAGUGUGUGUGUGUGAGAGAGAUCGGCGAUGGGGAGAGGUAAGAUAGUGAUAAGGAGGAUCGAUAAUUCGACGAGCAGGCAAGUGACGUUCUCGAAGAGGAGAAAUGGAUUGUUGAAGAAGGCGAAGGAGCUAGCGAUUCUGUGCGAUGCGGAGGCCGGAGUUAUUAUCUUCUCCAGUACUGGAAAACUCUAUGAAUAUUCAAACACCAGCAUGAAGUCGGUGAUUGAAAGAUACAACAAAACAAAGGAGGAGAAUCAUCAAUUGGAAACUCCAACUUCUGAGGUUAGGUUUUGGCAAAGGGAAGCGGCAAUGCUGAGGCAACAACUUCAGAACUUGCAAGAGAAUCACCGACAAAUGAUGGGUGAGGAACUUUCUGGUCUGAGCGUCAAAGAUUUGCAGAACUUGGAGAACCAACUGGAAACCAGUCUCCGUGGUGUUCGUGUAAGAAAGGACGAAAUUCUGAUUGAUGAGAUACAAGAACUAAACCGAAAGGGAAACCUCAUUCAUCAGGAAAACAUGGACCUAUAUAAGAAGGUAAACCUAAUUUGUCAAGAGAAUAUCGAAUUAUGUAAGAAGGUAUCUGUGUACAUCACUGAAAGCUUUCACAUGCUUCAAGAUGAAUUAUUUCCUUUUGUUUUCUUAUGUCAAAUGAAAGAGGGAACCAUUCUGCUUAGAACUCUAGCAAAUUGUUUCUACCUUGUGUUAAAUUACAGGUUUAUGGAAACAGAGAUGCAAAUGGAGUGAGCAGAAGUCCCCUUGUUGCGAACAGUUUAAGCAUCAAUGAGGACCUUCAUGCUCCUGUUCAUCUCCAGCUUAGCCAGCCACAGCAACAGAACUAUGAGACAUCAGGAACUACUGAAUUGGGGCUACAACUGCAUUCGCAGUGAAAACCAGACUCGUAAGAGUUUUUAGUUCUCGUGUUGAAGAAGCAGCUGUGCUUACAGAGCUAUGUUUUAAUUUUUUAAUGGUAGCAAUGAUAUAGAACCCAGAGAUGUCAGGAAAAAGUCUUCAGUUCAAAUGGUUAAUGACAUCAAGUUUGACAAGUGUGAGGUAAUCCUUAGCACAACUACUAAAAAGUAAGAUAACAACAAAUAAAGUAAUACAUUGGCACAGUAUCUCUACAUAUCUUUAUCUUUCUUGGCACUUCAUGCUUAUGAUGUGUAUGCCUAUAUACUAGGAUUGUACUUGAUGACGUUUUCAAAUAGCUAUAAAUAGUUGACUACUUAAACAGGAGUGGGAACAAAGAAAUGCAAGCAGAGAAAGGAUAUACAUAACAGUAACUCCUCAAAGAAGCAAACAGUACAAAACA